rnacentral:rRNA from 1 species
UGCCAGCAGCCGCGGUAACACGGGGGGCGCAAGCGUUAUUCGGAAUUAUUGGGCGUAAAGCGCGUGUAGGCGGUUCGUUAAGUCUGAUGUGAAAGCCCGGGGCUCAACCCCGGAAGUGCAUUGGAAACUGGCGAACUUGAGUACGGGAGAGGAAAGUGGAAUUCCGAGUGUAGGGGUGAAAUCCGUAGAUAUUCGGAGGAACAUCGGUGGUGAAAACGGCUCUCUGGCUCGUUACUGACGCUGAGGUGCGAAAGCUAGGGUAGCGAACGGGAUUAGAUA